rnacentral:rRNA from 1 species
GAUGAACGCUGGCGGCGUGCCUAACACAUGCAAGUCGAGCGGAGUGACCCAAGAGAAAUUUUCGAAUGGAUCUUGGAAUCACUUAGCGGCGGACGGGUGAGUAACGCGUGGGCAACCUGCCCUGUACAGAAGGAUAACAUUGGGAAACCAGUGCUAAUACUUCAUAACACUUCUGAAAGGCAUCUUUUGGAAGUCAAAGUUUUUCGGUACAGGAUGGGCCCGCGUCUGAUUAGUUAGUUGGUAAGGUAACGGCUUACCAAGACGAUGAUCAGUAGCCGACCUGAGAGGGUGAUCGGCCACACUGGAACUGAGACACGGUCCAGACUCCUACGGGAGGCAGCAGUGGGGAAUAUUGCACAAUGGGGGAAACCCUGAUGCAGCAACGCCGCGUGAGCGAUGAAGGCCUUCGGGUCGUAAAGCUCUGUCCUAAGGGAAGAUACAGACGGUACCUUAGGAGGAAGCCCCGGCUAACUACGUGCCAGCAGCCGCGGUAAUACGUAGGGGGCAAGCGUUAUCCGGAAUUACUGGGCGUAAAGGGUGCGUAGGCGGUUCGGUAAGUCAGAGGUGAAAGACUAUUGCUCAACGAUAGCAAGCCUUUGAAACUACCGAACUUGAGUGCAGGAGAGGAGAGUGGAAUUUCUAGUGUAGCGGUGAAAUGCGUAGAUAUUAGAAGGAACACCAGUGGCGAAGGCGACUCUCUGGACUGCAACUGACGCUGAGGCACGAAAGCGUGGGGAGCGAACAGGAUUAGAUACCCUGGUAGUCCACGCCGUAAACGAUGAGUGCUAGGUGUCGGGGGUCAAACCUCGGUGCCGGAGCUAACGCAAUAAGCACUCCGCCUGGGGAGUACGCUCGCAAGAGUAAAACUCAAAGGAAUUGACGGGGACCCGCACAAGUAGCGGAGCAUGUGGUUUAAUUCGAAGCAACGCGAAGAACCUUACCUAAACUUGACAUCCUUCUGAAAGGCCCCUAAUCGGGCCCCUCCUUCGGGACAGAAGUG